CCCCACCCACAUCCAUCAAUCACCUCCACACAUAUUCAGGCAUUUCUACCCCUUCCACCAUUAGUUCUCCCUCUCCCUCAGUGCACUGAUUUGCCUGCUUGCCCUAAUCCAUCAAUUUGUCUCCCACCAAUUCUAUCCGCCCUCACUAUCCAUCAGUCCUCUUUCCAUUCCAUUAAUCCUAUCAUUCCUCCAUUCCAUUAGUCUCUCUCUUUGUCCCCAUCUAUAAAUCCUCCAUUCCCAGAUGCUCAGUCCUCCCCCAGGAUUACGAUAUUGAUAUCCAGAAGAAAAGAAAAAAAACAGCCUUGCAGUUGUAUUUCCACAGGGAAACCAUAACAUUUGGAGUACAACUAGGUGAGAAGAAAAGCCCAGCACCAGGUCCAUCUGAUGAAGGAAGUCUGGCAGCACUGGUAAAGAGCACUGGGCCUUGCAGCAGACCUGGAGAGAGUGAGCUGGAGGCAAUCUGAACACCUCUAAGAACCACAGCUGCCUUGGGGGAACUGCCAAUAUGACCCCUUUUAAUGGACUCUGAACUUAUUUUACACAAAUGACAUGACAAGAAGAACAACACAUGCUGCAAUGGCAGUUUGUAGAGAACGAUAAAGAAGUAAAGAAGUUGAAUGAGAAAGAUAAGAGAGAAUGGCUUGACAAAAAAAAAAUGCAAGAGAAGCCAAAGAAGCAUCAGUGAGAAGUGACUCAAAGAAAUUAUUCCAGGUGUGUAAGCAAUUAUCAUCACAGUUUCAGAGUCACAGUGGUAUCAUAAAAGCGGAAGAUGGAAGAUUCUUAACAACGGAAGCAGAACAAAAGGAAUUAUGGUGAGAAUGUUUUAAUGAAGUGCUCAGUCAACCUGAGCCAACAAUUGCAAUCAAUGGAUGUGAAGAAGGUGAUAAAGAAAGCAGAAAUAGAGGAAGUCAUUAAGCUGCUAAAAUGGCAAAGCACAUGGUCAAGAUAAGAUCACUGCUAAAACGCUUGAAGGUGGGGAGGAAGUGGAAGAACAUGAAAUACAUAAACUUUGCAAUAUAGUUUGGGAGAAAUAAUUUUUCCUUGAGGAGUGGAAGAAAGGUGUGAUCUGUAAAUUACCAAAGAAACUCUGUACUGAGCAAGCAGGCUUUAGACUUUAAAGAUUGUGUAUACAUCACAUCUUUACCCUGUGUCAAUUGACUGAGGAAAGAUUACCAAUGAAGAUUAGUCUUGAACUUAAUACAUUUCAUCAAAGCUUUUAACUGCAUUAAUAGAGUGUUUCUAUGGAAGAUCUUGCAACAACAUGGGCUUCCUAGAAAGAUAGUGUCACUGAUUCAGAUGCUGUAUGAAGGUUGAAAAAUGUUGUUUAAGAACAGAAAGUGGAAAGACUGACUGGUUUGAUAUCAU
rnacentral:lncRNA from 1 species